AACGCACAUUGCGCCCGCCAGUAUUCUGGCGGGCAUGCCUGUUCGAGCGUCAUUUCAACCAUCAAGCCCCCGGGCUUGUGUUGGGGACCUGCGGCUGCCGCAGGCCCCGAAAAACAGUGGCGGGCUCGCUGUCACCCCGAGCGUAGUAGUUUACACCUCGCCCAGGGCGUGCCGCGGGUUCCCGGCCGUUAAACCCCCCAUACCACAAGGUUGACCUCGGAUCAGGUAGGAAGACCCGCUGAACUUAA
rnacentral:misc_RNA from 1 species